GUCACAACUGGCUAGCAGCGGAGCAGCAGCUGUUUGUACUCAAGUUUACUGCACUGAUACUACUCACUUCACAUCAUCUCUACCACGUACCCUAUUGAAAAACUAUCGGAAUCAGUUCACGAGAACGAAGCGCUCUGAUUGAUCAUCGGAGUCAGGUCGAACGGAACAACCAACCAUAUAUAGGGUAUUAACUAGCCACGGCAGACGACAAUACAAAACGGACUCGACCGUCGAACCUGGAAGAAGGUUGACGUGUUUCCGUGUUCCCACGGAAAUUAAUGAAAGGUUCCGUGUAUUUUUACAUUUUAUUCGAACAAGUGACAAAAAUGACAGUGUAUAAUAAUAUCAGUAAAUUAAAUUAAUAAAAAACAAA